GGGGGCGUGCUAUACAUGCAGUCGAACGCACAGCGAAAGGUGCUUGCACCUUUCAAGUGAGUGGCGAACGGGUGAGUAACACGUGGACAACCUGCCUCAAGGCUGGGGAUAACAUUUGGAAACAGAUGCUAAUACCGAAUGAAACUUAGUGUCGCAUGAUACGAAGUUAAAAGGCGCUUUGGCGUCACCUAGAGAUGGAUCCGCGGUGCAUUAGUUAGUUGGUGGGGUAAAGGCCUACCAAGACAAUGAUGCAUAGCCGAGUUGAGAGACUGAUCGGCCACAUUGGGACUGAGACACGGCCCAAACUCCUACGGGAGGCUGCAGUAGGGAAUCUUCCACAAUGGGCGAAAGCCUGAUGGAGCAACGCCGCGUGUGUGAUGAAGGCUUUCGGGUCGUAAAGCACUGUUGUAUGGGAAGAACAGCUAGAAUAGGGAAUGAUUUUAGUUUGACGGUACCAUACCAGAAAGGGACGGCUAAAUACGUGCCAGCAGCCGCGGUAAUACGUAUGUCCCGAGCGUUAUCCGGAUUUAUUGGGCGUAAAGCGAGCGCAGACGGUUGAUUAAUUCUGAUGUGAAAGCCCGGAGCUCAACUCCGGAAUGGGGAUUGGAAACUGGUUAACUUGAGUGCAGUAAAGGUAAGUGAAUCCUCCCUGAGUAUGGGUGGGAUGC
rnacentral:rRNA from 1 species